rnacentral:misc_RNA from 1 species
CCCAAAUCCCCCACUUAUCCUUCCACCAGCCUAGGGGCUUCCAGCAAUUGUUAUGCAGCUGUAUAGCAAGAAGCCCCUGAAUAUCUAUGGUCUAAAAUAAAUAGAUUGUCCAACCUUUUCCUGAGUGCCCCCUGCAAUCCACUAUAGAGCACCUGGUGAGAUAUGGUUAUUUCGAUACCGCAGGGGUUCCAAAAAAUAAACUAUUCUAGCGUUUCAACGUUUGGAUUUGAAGCUAUCUGUGACCCUCCUCAGUCUUUCCACCAAGACAGGAAUGUCCUCCUCACUCAAUGUUGUGAAGCAACACCUGAACCAUCCAGGCUCAAUGCAAUGGCAAGAAGAACCUGGGGUAACGUUGACCUUUGCUUCCUCCAACAGCCUAUCCCAGAGCUUGCGCUCUCCUUUCUCGCUGUAAGAUCGGAUGUACCUGCUCAUGUCUGCCCAGCAAUAGAACCCGCCGCUGCUCUUGAAGCAUUCUAUCCCAAGUUGUUUCAAAGCAUCAGAAAACAGAAGGUACAUUUUCCGGAGCCUCUCUCUGUUAACC